rnacentral:rRNA from 1 species
AGCGAACGUUAGCGGCGGGCUUAACACAUGCAAGUCGAACGCGAAAGGGAUUCGUCCCCAGUAGCAUGGCGUCCGGGUGAGUAACACGUAGGAAACCUUGCCUAGAGUGGGGGAUAACGUCCCGAAAGGGACGCUAAUACCGCAUAAGCCCACGUCGGCCUCGGCCGAUGCGGGAAAAGAUGGCCUCUGAAUUCAAGCUAUCGCUCAAGGAUGGUCCUGCGGCGCAUCAGCUAGUUGGUGGGGUAACGGCCUACCAAGGCGAAGACGCGUAGCUGGUCUGAGAGGAUGAUCAGCCACACUGGCACUGAAACACGGGCCAGACUCCUACGGGAGGCAGCAGUGGGGAAUAUUGGACAAUGGGCGCAAGCCUGAUCCAGCCACGCCGCGUGAAGGACGAAGGCGCUCAGCGUUGUAAACUUCUUUUGGAUGGGAACAAUAACUCCGACUUGUCGGAACUUGAGGGUACCAUCAGAAUAAGCACCGGCUAACUCCGUGCCAG